GACGAACGCUGGCGGCGCGCCUAACACAUGCAAGUCGAACGGAGUCAAGAGGAGCUUGCUUUUCUUGACUUAGUGGCGAACGGGUGAGUAACGCGUGAGUAACCUGCCCUGGAGUGGGGGACAACAGUUGGAAACGACUGCUAAUACCGCAUAAGCCCACGGAUCCGCAUGGAUCUGCGGGAAAAGGAUUUAUUCGCUUCAGGAUGGACUCGCGUCCAAUUAGCUAGUUGGUGAGGUAACGGCCCACCAAGGCGACGAUUGGUAGCCGGACUGAGAGGUUGAACGGCCACAUUGGGACUGAGACACGGCCCAGACUCCGACGGGAGGCAGCAGUGGGGGAUAUUGCACAAUGGGGGAAAACCUGAUGCAGCGACGCCGCGUGGAGGAAGAAGGUUUUCGGAUUGUAAACUCCUGUCGUUAGGGACGAUAAUGACGGUACCUAACAAGAAAGCACCGGCUAACUACGUG
rnacentral:rRNA from 1 species